GGGGAUAUGGUUUAGUGGUAUAAUACUCCCUUAGCAUCUCUGCGGAUUCCCCGCGGAUUUAUCUUGGGAGUGGUCCAGGGUUCGAUUCCCUGUGUCUCCA